UAUGCUUAGGAACUGCUUUCACUCGCAU
rnacentral:sRNA from 1 species